rnacentral:rRNA from 1 species
AGGACGAACGCUGGCGGCGUGCUUAACACAUGCAAGUCGAACGGUGAUCUUGGAGCUUGCUUCAAGUGAGCAGUGGCGAACGGGUGAGUAACACGUGAGUAACCUGCCCCAGACUCGUGGAAUAAGCGCUGGAAACGGCGUCUAAUACCGGAUAUGACACUAAACCGCAUGGUUAUAGGUGUGGAAAGUUUUUCGGCUGGGAUGGACUCGCGGCCUAUCAGCUUGUUGGUGAGGUAAUGGCUCGACCAAGGCGAUGACGGGUAGCCGGCCUGAGAGGGCGAUCGGACACGACUGGACUGACGACACGGCCCAGACUCACGGGAGCAGUCGAGUGGGAAUAGUUGACACGAAUUGGGACCAAAGCCGUAGAUAGCAAGGCGACGCCGCGUAGAGG